UACGUAGGGUGCGAGCGUUGUUCGGAAUUACUGGGCGUAAAGAGCUCGUAGGUGGUUUGUCGCGUUGUUCGUGAAAACUCACAGCUCAACUGUGGGCGUGCGGGCGAUACGGGCAGACUGGAGUACUGCAGGGGAGACUGGAAUUCCUGGUGUAGCGGUGGAAUGCGCAGAUAUCAGGAGGAACACCGGUGGCGAAGGCGGGUCUCUGGGCAGUAACUGACGCUGAGGAGCGAAAGCCAGGGGAGCGAACGGG
rnacentral:rRNA from 1 species